UUGACCAGUCUGGUCUUGAACUCCUGACCUCAAGUGAUCCGCCUGCCUUGGCCUUCCAAAGUGUUGGGAUUACAGGUGUGAGCCACCUCGCCUGGUCUGCAGCUUCAUUUGUAAUUGUCCCAAACUGGAAGCAGCCUAAAUGCCAGUCAGCAGGACUACGCCCAAGCAAGGUUUGAUGCCUAUUUCCACCAGAAGAGGAAGCUUGGGGUGUGACUGUGGGGAGGACUCCAUCCACCUCAUCACUGGACUGCAUGGGGAGGCAGCAGAGCGGGGUCCCCUCUGUGCUUCGACUACUGCUCCUGUGGCAGGAGGCUUUGGGUGGCUCACUACUGAACACGUGUAUGAUACUAAAGACGGUAUUAAAAUGGAGCGACGUUUAUUUCAUCUCUUGUUUACGAUUUCACUAGGACUCAGAAACGAGAUCGGGAAGCAGAAAUAUAGUGCAAUAGUGCAACAUCUCUGAAUCCUUUUAAUCUAGAGAAGGCAUUUCAUAUUUGGGGGCUAAGGUUUCCAGUCAGAUGAGGCAAACAGCAAGAGUAAGCAGUGUUACUUGCAGGUACUUUGGUUAAUGUUGAUUUAAAUUUUCAUGAAUGUGCUGGUGAACACUGUGACCAGGCUUUUGUAGAUGGCUAUGUGUUAUAGACGGUGCUCACUCCCAAGGGACGGCAAGUGAGCAGAGAUGUACUGCGAAGUCGCCAGUCACUGCUGCAAGGUGGCCUCUGCCUGGGGCCUCCGGAAGCUGCUCCUCUACCCUCUUGGUCCCAUGGCUGAAGCUGGAGCAGCGGAUUGCUCUGGAGCAGCCAAGGCCGCCUGCGUGUGGAGCAGAGCUCUCCCCUCCUGCUGGGCGUGUGUGACACUGAUGAGUUUCACUGUACUGCAUGUGACUUCUCCCCUGCCCUUCCUCCUGAUGGAGUGCAGACAGCCAUGCGUGGCCACGGGGGCAGUGUGAGGACCUCCGUGUCUCCCGGCUCCCCUCCCAGGGGAGCCAGCUGCUUGACCUAGCUCUUUGGGCCUCUCCUGCCCUCUGCUCUGCCUGGAGUGUCGGAUCCUGUGAGUAGGCUGGGCCGCCCCUGGGCAGGGUUCUCCAAGGGCCCGGUUUCCCGGCCCUUACCUUUCCUGAUGCCCCUGACAUCAUCAUUCUUGUGGGAGACAGCAGCCUGUAUGUGGUGUGGGGCGUGGAUCGAGUGUAGCUGUGAAAUCCAUAUAUAUGAAAUGUCCCGCGGGAUACAGUCUUAGCUGACUUUUUUUUACUCUGAACUCUGAAUUGUUUUUUGUGCAUAUAUUUCUGCUACCACAGAGAUUGUACUAUACAAAUAAAAAAAUAAAAAC
rnacentral:lncRNA from 1 species